GAUCAAGCGAAUAAGUGCAUGUGGUGGAUGCCUUGGCGAUUACAGGCGAUGAAGGACGUAGCAGUCUGCGAAAAGCCACGGGGAGCUGACAAGCAAGCUUUGAUCCGUGGAUAUCCGAAUGGGGAAACCCACCCGCAAGGGUACUCCCUCCUGAAUACAUAGGGAGGGUAGAGCGAACGCAGCGAACUGAAACAUCUAAGUAGCUGCAGGAAAAGAAAUCAACCGAGAUUCCGUAAGUAGUGGCGAGCGAACACGGAAGAGCCUUGCAACUUUUAGCACACGAAUUAACAGAACGGUCUGGAAAGUCCGGCGAUAGUGGGUGAUAGCCCCGUAUGUAAAAAUUCGAGUGUGGAACUAGGGUUGCGACAAGUAGGGCGGGGCACGAGAAACCUUGUCUGAAUAUGGGGGGACCAUCCUCCAAGGCUAAAUACUCGUAAUCGACCG
rnacentral:rRNA from 1 species